GAUGAACGCUGGCGGCGUGCCUAAUACAUGCAAGUCGAGCGAACUGUUGGGAGCUUGCUCCCUAAGGUUAGCGGCGGACGGGUGAGUAACACGCGGGUAACCUGCCUGUAAGACUGGGAUAACUCCGGGAAAACGGAGCUAAUACCGGAUAACAUUGAAGACCACAUGGGCUUCAAUUAAAAGGUAGCUUUUAGCUACCACUUACAGAUGGACCCGCGGCGCAUUAGCUAGUUGGUGAGGUAACGGCUCACCAAGGCGACGAUGCGUAGCCGACCUGAGAGGGUGAUCGGCCAAACCGGGACUGAGACACGGCCCAGACUCCUACGGGAGGGAGCAGUAGGGGAUCCUCCGCAAAGGACGAAAGUCUGACGGGGCAACGCCGCGUGGGCGAAUAAGGCCUUCGGGUCGUAAAGCUCUGUUGUUUGGGGAGAACAAUAAUCGUUCGAAUAGGGCGGUACCUUGACGGUACCUAACCAGAAAGCCACGGCUAACUACGUG
rnacentral:rRNA from 1 species